rnacentral:rRNA from 1 species
AAUGAACGCUGGCGGCAGGCUUAAUACAUGCAAGUCGAACGAGUGGCGGACGGGUGAGUAAUGCUUGGGAAUCUCGCUUAUGGAGGGGGAUAACUACGGGAAACUGUAGCUAAUACCGCGUACCAUAGGAUGAGCCCAAGUGGGAUUAGGCAGUUGGUGAGGUAAAGGCUCACCAAGCCGACGAUCUCUAGAGGGUCUGCGAGGAUGACCGGCCACACUGGAACUGAGACACGGCCCAGACUCCUACGGGAGGCAGCAGUGGGGAAUAUUGCGCAAUGGGGGCAACCUGACGCAGCCAUGCCGCGUGAAUGAGGAAGGCCUUCGGGUUGUAAAGUUCUUUCGUUAGGGAGGCGUUAACUACAGAGGAAGCAACGGCUAACUCCGUGCCAGCAGCCGCGGUAAUAC